GCAGUCGAGCGAGUCUGCCUUGAAGAUCGGAGUGCUUGCACUCUGUGAAACAAGAUACAGGCUAGCGGCGGACGGGUGAGUAACACGUGGGUAACCUGCCCAAGAGAUCGGGAUAACACCUGGAAACAGAUGCUAAUACCGGAUAACAACAGAUGAUGCCUAUCAACUGUUUAAAAGAUGGUUCUGCUAUCACUCUUGGAUGGACCUGCGGUGCAUUAGCUAGUUGGUAGGGUAACGGCCUACCAAGGCGAUGAUGCAUAGCCGAGUUGAGAGACUGAUCGGCCACAUUGGGACUGAGACACGGCCCAAACUCCUACGGGAGGCAGCAGUAGGGAAUCUUCCACAAUGGACGCAAGUCUGAUGGAGCAACGCCGCGUGAGUGAAGAAGGGUUUCGGCUCGUAAAGCUCUGUUGUUGGUGAAGAAGGACAGGGGUAGUAACUGACCUUUGUUUGACGGUAAUCAAUUAGAAAGUCACGGCUAACUACGUGCCAGCAGCCGCGGUAAUACGUAGGUGGCAAGCGUUGUCCGGAUUUAUUGGGCGUAAAGCGAGUGCAGGCGGCUCGAUAAGUCUGAUGUGAAAGCCUUCGGCUCAACCGGAGAAUUGCAUCAGAAACUGUCGAGCUUGAGUACAGAAGAGGAGAGUGGAACUCCAUGUGUAGCGGUGAAAUGCGUAGAUAUAUGGAAGAACACCGGUGGCGAAGGCGGCUCUCUGGUCUGUUACUGACGCUGAGGCUCGAAAGCAUGGGUAGCGAACAGGAUUAGAUACCCUGGUAGUCCAUGCCGUAAACGAUGAGUGCUAAGUGUUGGGAGGUUUCCGCCUCUCAGUGCUGCAGCUAAC
rnacentral:rRNA from 1 species